AAAACGAAUAGUAAAUGACAUAACACAACCCAAAAUAAACUACUAAGCAGAAAUAGUUUCUAUCCGGUAACCCGCCCUAGACGACUCUUCAUGUCUUGAACUUUAUGUUCAACCCUGCUUAAAAAUAUACCAAAGGUGAAGACAAGAACAAUAAUUACGUAGAUAGAAACACAACAAUUAUUCAUAACAAACACAGAUUUCAGACAAGUCAUAAAACAUAUAAAAUCACAUACUGAGAAAGAAAGGAUAAAGAGACUAGUCCGGAUGCUUCCUUCUUAUUUAUUUCAAAUAAUGCAACAAUAUUAAAUAAUCCAAAACGACAAUUAAACUAAUGGAAAGCAACUAACCAAUUAGGCAGAAUAUUUUAUCAGCAAUGAAGUAUUUAGGAAGAUUUCCAAACCACAACAGCAACACAGCAAAAGCGCAAAGAAUGAUCCAAAGCUUUACUAGAAUUCUUAUUUUUUAGAGAAGAGAGUAUCUAAGGUAUAUGUCUAAAUCUGAGAGUGUGUCCACCCAUGAGUAUGAGAGUGUGUUCGUCCCAAAAGUAGUGCAAAGAGGGUCCUUUUAUAGUGAGGGGAGGGGUCAACAGUAAAGGAAAAUAAUUAUUUUAGGGGUCAAUAUAAUAUUUUCCCUUUUUCAAAGGAGCCAAUUAUAACAUGCUUUCCUUAAACAAAAGGAGUAUAAAAUCAGUCCAAUAUUUAUUUAUUAUUUUUACCAAAUAUGAACAAGUAAGAAAUCUGUCAACUUUUCACAUAAGGUAAGAAAUUGUUACCGCUAAUCAAUUAAUCAGUCAAUUUUCCUUCUCUACAAAAUCAAUUAAUCAAUCACUAAAUCAUGCAACUAAAAUAAGGUAGCGCAAUCAAUCAGCGAGAUAAGAGAAUUAUUCUUACUUUUUUGCAAAAUCAAUUCAAUGUACUUACCGUAUAUACCCGAGCAUAAUAGCAAAAGGAACAUACAUUAAUAGAUUUUCCUAUUCAAUCGAGAGGUUCAACAUUUAUAAUACCAAAGAAUUAGAUACAACAAAAUUAGGAGCAGACCAUUAUAGCAAUGCAAAAUAUAGCAAUGAAGGUGUAGAAUUUUCAUGGGCCAAAUCCGGGCAUGCUUUCAAACUAUAGUUAUAAUUUGAUCAUACAUAUAAAAAAAUUUAAGCAAAUGAAGAACAUAGAUUACAAAAAUCAGCAGCUCCACACAUAAAUUAGGAUAUUGAAAUACUAAGGAUGAAACAAUUAACGGACUAAUCAUGCACACUUUAUGUUUAAUGGCAAGCACAAAUAUUUGAGUUUUAAGAUAAGGAAAAUCGUACCUGGGACUGAUCUGUGAAGAUCAGUCCUUUAAAAAAAAUCAUUUUUAGUUCCGAAUCCGAACAUUGGCAUCGACAAGCCCUUUUUGUUGCUUCUUCG
rnacentral:lncRNA from 1 species